AGAGUUUGAUCAUGGCUCAGGAUGAACGCUAGCUACAGGCUUAACACAUGCAAGUCGAGGGGAAACGAUAGAGAAAGCUUGCUUUUUCUAGGCGUCGACCGGCGCACGGGUGAGUAACGCGUAUCCAACCUGCCCACCACUUGGGGAUAACCUUGCGAAAGUAAGACUAAUACCCAAUGACGUCUCUAGAAGACAUCUGAAAGGGAUUAAAGAUUUAUCGGUGAUGGAUGGGGAUGCGUCUGAUUAGCUUGUUGGCGGGGUAACGGCCCACCAAGGCUACGAUCAGUAGGGGUUCUGAGAGGAAGGUCCCCCACAUUGGAACUGAGACACGGUCCAAACUCCUACGGGAGGCAGCAGUGAGGAAUAUUGGUCAAUGGACGAGAGUCUGAACCAGCCAAGUAGCGUGCAGGAUGACGGCCCUAUGGGUUGUAAACUGCUUUUAUAAGGGAAUAAAGUGAGCCUCGUGAGGCUUUUUGCAUGUACCUUAUGAAUAAGGACCGGCUAAUUCCGUGCCAGCGGCCGCGGUAAUACGGAAGGUCCGGGCGUUAUCCGGAUUUAUUGGGUUUAAAGGGAGCGUAGGCCGGAGAUUAAGCGUGUUGUGAAAUGUAGAUGCUCAACAUCUGCACUGCAGCGCGAACUGGUUUCCUUGAGUACGCACAAAGUGGGCGGAAUUCGUGGUGUAGCGGUGAAAUGCUUAGAUAUCACGAAGAACUCCGAUUGCGAAGGCAGCUCACUGGAGCGCAACUGACGCUGAAGCUCGAAAGUGCGGGUAUCGAACAGGAUUAGAUACCCUGGUAGUCCGCACGGUAAACGAUGGAUGCCCGCUGUUGGUCUGAAUAGGUCAGCGGCCAAGCAAAAGCAUUAAGCAUCCCACCUGGGGAGUAC
rnacentral:rRNA from 1 species